rnacentral:rRNA from 1 species
GACGAAGGGGGCUAGCGUUGUUCGGAAUUACUGGGCGUAAAGCGCGUGUAGGCGGCUUUGCAAGUCGGGUGUGAAAGCCCUCAGCUCAACUGAGGAAGUGCGCCCGAAACUGCAGAGCUUAGUACCGGAGAGGAUGGCGGAAUUCCCCAAGUAGAGGUGAAAUUCGUAGAUAUGGGGAGGAACACCGGUGGCGAAGGCGGCAUCUG